AUGCGGGGGCGUCUCCGGGUGAAUGGAAUGGCGAGACCACCGAGUACGGCGGCCGGCGCAGUGGUCUCUGGGGAUGGCUGGUGUUAUACUGGCCGGCCGGAGCGGGAGAACGGUCAACCAGAGCUGCUUCAGCAGGCGCCAUUAACAAACUACCAGCGCGCCGUACUAUCCAUCCCUGUUGCAUACGCACGAUCAUCUGCAUGCAGGCCGCUGAGCUCACCAACAGGAACGUGCCAAUGCAGAUUCCCGGCCGGGAUAACGAACACCUCUGGACUGGGGUUACCUUCCUGUCUGUCUGCCGGCAUCGUCCCGAGAUGCUACUCUGGAGUAGAGUAG
rnacentral:rRNA from 1 species